AUGGGCGCCCUGCUGUCCACCACGGAGGCCCUGGUCCCGCACUUCAGGAGCCUCGUCUCCGGCCUGCUCCCGCCCGCAUCCUGCGUCAUCUCCGACGUUGAGCACGUCCUGCAUGCGUCCAAGAAGAUGGGCCUUCGCUGCGUCACCUUCUGGACGACGAGCGCGUUCGCCUUCAUGGCGUCCCAGCAAUUGCAGCGGCUCGUGGAUGCGGGCAUUGUCCCCCUCAAAGAGGCUGAGCAGCUGAGGAAUGGAUACCUGGACGACACGGUUGUGGACUGGGUGCCGGGGAUGCCCAGCGACAUCCGCCUCAGAGACUUCCCGAGCUUCAUCCGCACCACGGACCCCGACGACGCCAUACUCAAAAUCAUCCUGAACGCAAUGGCGUGCCACAGGACCACUCCGUCCGCCAUCAUCUUCCACACCUUCGACGAGAUCGACCGCGAGGCCAUGGCGGCCAUGUCCACCAUCCUGCCACCGACCUACGCCGUCGGGCCACUGCCGCUCCUCCUCGGCCAAGUCUCUGGCGGCGGCGUGGUCGACACACUAGAAUCAAACUUGUCAAGGGUGAACCACGCCUCCCUAGAGUGGCUGGAGGGCAAGCGGCCAGACUCGGUGCUGUACGUGAGCUUCGGGAGCAUAGCGACGCUCACGAGCAGCCAGCUGGUGGAGUUCGCGUGGGGUCUGGCCAACAGCAAGAAGGACUUCCUGUGGGUGAUCAGAGACGAUCUAGUGAGCGACGGCGACGGCCCUGCCGCCGCCGUGCUGCCACCGGAGUUCCUGGAGGAGACGAAGGCGAGGAGCCACGUGACGAGCUGGUGCCCGCAGGAGGCGGUGCUCCGGCACGAGGCCACGGGCGCGUUCCUGACGCAGUGCGGGUGGAACUCCGUCCUGGAGAGCCUCAGCGCCGGGGUGCCCAUGCUGUGCUGGCCCUUCGGCGCCGACCAGUACACGAACGCGAGGUACGUCUGCUCCGAGUGGCGCGUCGGCGUGGAGAUCGGCGGCGAUGUCAAGAGGGGCGAGGUGGAGGCGGCCGUCAAGGAGGUGAUGGGAGGAGACGGGGGAAAGGAGAUGAAGAGAAUGGCCAUGGAAUGGAAGGAGAAGGCUGCCAUGGCUGCACUGCCUGGUGGGCCAUCUUGGGUAAAUCUGGAGAAGGUGGUUAAUGAGGUGCUUGCUGUGCAACCUAGCAAGAUCAGUGAUACUACGGGAUUAUGA
rnacentral:rRNA from 1 species